rnacentral:rRNA from 1 species
UACGUAGGGUGCGAGCGUUAAUCGGAAUUACUGGGCGUAAAGCGCGUGUAGGCGGUUCCGCCAGUCUGGUGUGAAAGCCCGGGGCUCAACCCCGGAAGCGCAUUGGAUACUACGGAGCUUGAGUCCUGAAGAGGAGAGCGGAAUUCCCGGUGUAGAGGUGAAAUUCGUAGAUAUCGGGAGGAACACCAGUGGCGAAGGCGGCUCUCUGGACAAUGCUGACGCUCAGGCACGAAAGCGUGGGGAGCAAACGGG